UUCAUAAUCCUCCGUCCAACAAAAGAUGUCUCAACUUUGACUAAAUUUGAAUGCAUCUAUACACUAAGUCAUGUCUAGAUACAUCCAAAUUUUGACAAACUUGAGACAUCUUUUGUUGGACGGAGGGAGUACUUC
rfam:Brachypodium distachyon strain Bd21 chromosome 1, whole genome shotgun sequence.